rnacentral:lncRNA from 1 species
CUUAGAUGGAUUCCCAAAGAAGUAGGUGCAUUGAGAAGAGUACACCAGGAAUUGAGCUAUAGGAAUAACAGAGACCAAACUAGCAAUUUUACAUCUGUUCAAAACUAUGACCUCAUCAAACUAAUUUCUCAGCUAGCUUUUUUCUUCUUCCAUUCUUGUAUCCAUGUCUUGCAGCUUCCUCUGGGAAUCUUCUUCCUCUCCCUGUAGUAUAUGAUGUCUAAAAAUCCUCCCUGGCUUGUUGGGAACAAACUUCCCAUACACCAGAGUGACAUAUGCCCUGAGACUCUACACGAUGGCUGAAGAGACACCUAACUCACAGGACUAAGGAAAAUGAAACAAAAUCUUCAGACUUGCUUCCAAAGGAGAAGUUUGAAAUGGAAGGGAGAAAGAGAGGAAGGGAGGGACGGCAAGAAGGAAAGAAGAGAGGAAGGAAGAAAGCAAUGGCAUGGCCAUGUUUCUGUGUUGUUUUUUCCUACUACAAAAUAUUAAGAUAUUGGAUAAUAAAGGAGCCAAAUAGUGUCACAUGGCUCACGUGUGUAUCAACAAGGCCCAUGUGUGUAUCAACAUAAGGCUAAGAACACAUGACAAGGCAUGGAUGGCCAAGGAGUCAGGAUUUUGAAAUGAGUGCAAGGACUUGUUUACAUGAAAAUGUUCAAAGGUAAAAUCAAUGUAUCAGGUUAAAGGGUUGAGUCUGAAGAAUGAGCGCAUGAAAAAAUGUGAUACUUUCUCUUUUUUGUCAUUGCUUUCUUUCCCCUCAUCCGUGGCGGGGAGAGGAUCUUUGGUAAGACAGAAUAAAGACGGCAUUUUAGUGAGGAUGGGGGAAGCCUGAG